rnacentral:rRNA from 1 species
ACGCUCGACACCUACAGGAGGCAGCAGUGAGGAAUAUUGGUCAAUGGGCGCAGGCCUGAACCAGCCAAGUAGCGUGAAGGAUGACUGCCCUAUGGGUUGUAAACUUCUUUUAUAUGGGAAUAAAGUUUUCCACGUGUGGAAUUUUGUAUGUACCAUAUGAAUAAGGAUCGGCUAACUCCGUGCCAGCAGCCGCGGUAAUCUGAGCGGGCUGGCAAGGC